rnacentral:tRNA from 1 species
GGAGAGGUGCCAGAGUGGUUGAAUGGGCUGGUUUCGAAAACCAGUAUGGCGGCAACGUCAUCGGGGGUUCAAAUCCCUCCCUCUCCGCCA